UUUACCAAUGGCUUGUGGUUAUUCUCUUCCCUUAAACCUGCUGACUUUCUUUCUUCCAUCUGUUCCCUCAAUUCUGGGCUUCCAGGGUGUGGACUCAGCUCAGGCCCCUGCAGGAGACACACAGAAUCAGGUCUCAGCUUCAGGUCCUGGGCAGCAUUAAAAACCAUCUCUGCUCCUCAGAAACUCAGAGAAAACACAGCAGGAAGGGACCUCAGAGAGGAACAAUAAGCCCCUACUUUACUGACAAGGAAAGUGAAGUCAAGAAAGACUAAGACUCUCCCAGGCUCCGUCACCACAUGGUGGCAGCAGAUUGACCACACAAGCCUUGGCCUCAGCCUCCCUGUCCAAAGCACCCAACUCACCCUCCAGGAACUCACUGCUGCAUUUCAGAAAACUUUGGAUCAAAAAUAGCAAUUUCCACUGUGAAAACAAAAAUAGUAAAAGGGCAUUUCCUUGGACAAACCCUUUAUCACUGUUCUGUAGUCCUAGUACUUAUACUUGGUCAGUUGUCUUUCGCUGGCUGGUAGAUUGGGGCAGGGAGCGCAUAAGGAUUAAAUAGUGCUUGACACAACCUGCUUUCCCGGCCUGGGAUCUCAGCCCCUCCAUUCUUUUUCAGAAACUUUCCUCUGCUGUAACUGCUGAAGAGUCCAGGCCCUCAUGUGGGUCAUUUCUCGAUGAAGACCCCUGUUACUUUCUUCCUCUCUUGAAGGGCAGAGAUUGGUUCUGGGACCCUACAGUCCUAGGUUUUCUUCUAAGCCAGCCAGAUCAGCUGAAAGCAAUCAUGACUGAGAGAGGUCAGGUCAGCGAAGAGAGUCCCAGAGGAGCAGGGGGUCACAAGGACAGCCCCUCAUGGAGAUGGUCAGGACCAUGACAUGGGCAAUAUCUGACCAAUUCUGCUAGGGAAGAUGCGCCAGGGAUUAAGGGGAGGAUGCUGCCAUAAGGAGAAAGGUGAAGAACCAAAGGAGUGCCAGAAGAAGGAAAAUAAAAUGAUUUGAAUAAAGAUAGAAAUGCAGAGCCCAGAGGCAAAGCCCCACGUCACACACAGAGGGUUAGUUCCAGGCUGUGGAUCCUAAUCAACAAAUUCCUGCUGGAUUUUGCUUAGCCCCAUUUCAAAAUGAUUUUGGAUCAGUGACUUUGUUUCUUCCACUUUCCCUCUUUUUGAACAAGAAUCACUAGUGUUGUUAUUCUAUGACUGUCCCACCAUUGCACGUUGAGGGCAGAUAAGCUUUGUUCAGUUUCACAGGUCAGCAGAGGUAAGGGAAUUAUGUCAAGGAUUUGUACUUGGGCCAGGUGCAGUGGCUCACACCUGUAAUCCUAGCACUUUGGAAGGCCAAGGCGGACGGAUCCCCUGAGCUCAGGAGUUCGAGACCAUCCUGGCCAACAGGGCAAAACCACAUGUCUGCUAAAAAUACAAAAAAAAUUAGCUGGAUGUGGUGGCACAUGCCUGUAAUCCGAGCUUCUCGGGAGGUGAAAGCAGGAGAAUUGCUUGAACCCAGGAGGUGGAGGUUGCAGCGAGCCAAGGUUGUGCCGCUGCACAGCAUGCGCAACAGAGCGAGACUCCCUCAAAAAAAAAAAAAAAAA
rnacentral:lncRNA from 1 species